AAUUUAGCUGAAAAAAUCAUGAACAUAAAAGUUGUAGAACUCAUCAAGACAUAUAACUUUUAUUUUGGUAAUUUCUUCAUCCGAUAAAGUGACAGUAACAUUGUUCAUAAAAUUUACAUAUAUCUUUCAUAGUUUAUAAAAACAAAUGAGAGAUGUAAAUUUUGUGAACAAUGUUACUAUCACUUUGUCGGAUGUAGAAAUGACCAAAAUAAAAGUUAUAGAUUUUCAUGAGUUAUACAACUUUGUUGUUGAUGACUUUUUCAGUUGAAAUC
rnacentral:pre_miRNA from 1 species